rnacentral:tRNA from 1 species
UGGCAGGCAGAUUUUCUCGCAUCGAGCUCGUCAGGCUCAUAACCUGAAGGUCGUAGGUUCAAAUCCUACCCCCGCAACCA